CCAGACUCCUACGGGAGGCAGCAGUGAGGAAUAUUGGUCAAUGGCCGAGAGGCUGAACCAGCCAAGUCGCGUGAGGGAUGACGGCCCUACGGGUUGUAAACCUCUUUUGUCAGGGAGCAAAGGGCGCCACGUGUGGCGUUUUGCGAGUACCUGAAGAAAAAGCAUCGGCUAACUCCGUGCCAGCAGCCGCGGUAAUACGGAGGAUGCGAGCGUUAUCCGGAUUUAUUGGGUUUAAAGGGUGCGCAGGCGGAAUGUCAAGUCAGCGGUAAAAAUGCGGUGCUCAACGCCGUACAGCCGUUGAAACUGGCAGUCUUGAGUGGGCGAGAAGUAUGCGGAAUGCGUGGUGUAGCGGUGAAAUGCAUAGAUAUCACGCAGAACUCCGAUUGCGAAGGCAGCAUACCGGCGCCCAACUGACGCUGAAGCACGAAAGCGUGGGUAUCGAACAGGAUUAGAUACCCCAGUA
rnacentral:rRNA from 1 species